rnacentral:rRNA from 1 species
CCUACGGGUGGCUGCAGUGAGGAAUAUUGGUCAAUGGGCGCGACCCUGAACCAGCCAAGUAGCGUGAAGGAUGAAUGCCCUACGGGUUGUAAACCUCUUUUAUAAAGGAAUAAAGUGAGGAACGUGUUCCUUUUUGUAUGUACUUUAUGAAUUAGGAGCGGCUAACUCCGUGCCAGCAGCCGCGGUAAUCCGGAGGAUCAGAGCUUUAGCCGGAUUUAUUGGGUUUAAAGGGAGUGGAGAUGGGUUGUUAAGUCAGGUGUGAAAGUUUGCGGAUCAACCGUAAAAUGUCAAUUGAUACUGGCAGCCUUGAGUAAAGGUGAGGUAGGCGGAAUUCGUGGUGUAGCGGUGAAAUGCUUAGAUAUCACGAAGAACUCCGAUUGCGAAGGCAGCCUACUAAACUGCCACUGACAUUGAUGCUCGAAAGUGUGGGUAUCAAACAGGAUUAGAUACCCCAGUAGUC